AAUCGAGAGCAUCCUGUCGGGCUGUAUCACUGCCUGGUACCACCGCCUACCACCCACCUUUAGGGCAUCCUCCAUGGACCUAGGAGCGAGGGGGAGACAUUACAGGUGUACUCUGCGUAAUGUAGUCUCUUACCUGCAGCAGACUGCCCCAUGUAUGCAGAAGGGCGGGCCCCUCAUAACCCCUUCCUGGAUGAUGACGGCGAAGCUGCAGAUGUCACCAUGGAGAGCGCCAUCGAGACCAGGGAGGGGCCCCGCAGGAUCUCAGGGGCCAUCCACAACAGGCCCGUGCUGGCUGGUCCCAUGCAGGAAGGUGAGGUUCCGGAGGUCCCUCCGCCCCCUCUGGACAUCGAGGGGUCUCCGGCGUACACGAUACGGGCCAUUCUGGACUCGAGACGCCGGGUGAGGGGCCUGCAGUACCUCGUGGACUGGGAGGGGUACGGGCCAGAGGAGAGGUGCUGGGUCCCGGUGGGGAACAUAUUGGAUCCAUCUAUGCUGAGGGAGUUACAUUGCCUCCAUCCGGAUCGCACUGCGCCUCGCCCCCCGGGUCGUCCCCAGGCCGGUGUCGGC
ensembl:lncRNA